rnacentral:rRNA from 1 species
GACGAACGCUGGCGGCGUGCUUAACACAUGCAAGUCGAACGAUGAAGCUAGAGCUUGCUCUGGUGAAUUAGUGGCGAACGGGUGAGUAACACGUGAGUAACCUGCUUCGAACUCUGGGAUAACUGCUGGAAACGGUAGCUAAUACUGGAUACGACCUACGAAGGCAUCUUCUGUAGGUGGAAAGAAUUUCGGUUCGGGAUGGACUCGCGGCCUAUCAGCUUGUUGGUGAGGUAAUGGCUCACCAAGGCGACGACGGGUAGCCGGCCUGAGAGGGUGACCGGCCACACUGGGACUGAGACACGGCCCAGACUCCUACGGGAGGCAGCAGUGGGGAAUAUUGCACAAUGGGCGCAAGCCUGAUGCAGCAACGCCGCGUGAGGGAUGACGGCCUUCGGGUUGUAAACCUCUUUUAGUAGGGAAGAAGCGAAAGUGACGGUACCUGCAGAAAAAGCACCGGCUAACUACGUGCCAGCCGCCGCAGUAA